rnacentral:lncRNA from 1 species
UGUGGAGCAGUGUGAGUCAGUGACAUAAAUACAGGGAAGGGUAGGAGAGACUACAUGACAUCACAAUACCACCUUUACAUACUUCUGCGGCCUUGCUUCACGCUUCUUCAGGAGGAAUUGUCCAUGUAGUUGGGAAGUAACUUCAGAAAGAGAAAAUACAGGAGCUGAGCAGUGAAGGACCCAGGAGUUCCAUGAGAUGACGUUGUUGAUGAUGAUGAUGAUGAUGAUGAUGAUGAUGAUGAUGAUGGCUGACACCGACUGAGCAGGUUGCUUAUUAUGUCCCAGUUCCGUCAGGGUCACAAGAUGGCUGCCAUGGUCAGAUGUCACAAACCCAUAUGGCAGUGUUCUCAGCAGGAAGGACGGGGGGAAGGCUCCUUUUUAUCAGGUGAUGCCAAUGCCUCUCCUGCUCAGAUCACAUUUUGAAUAGCAAGGGACUGGAACACAUCGUCACAGGUUGAUUGCCUGCAAAGGACAUAGAAAUAGAGUUGAUUCAAUUUCUCAACUGAAGGAAUUCACUGACUAGCAGCGAAAACAGGACAGUGACGCAUGUAAAGGAAAUAGCACAAAGAAACGGCUAACUUACUUUUUGGUGGGACUAACGGCUUCUUGGAGGAAGUGAGAGCUAAGUUGGGCUUUGAAGGAUAGGAAGAGUUACAUGGUGGAAAAGGAGAGAAUAAAGUGAUGCUUUUCAAAUUUAAUCUGCAUCUAAAUCACUGAAAUUGCAAAUUCUGACUCAGCACCUGAGGUGGGGCAUGUGAUUCUGCAUUUCUAACAAGCUCCAGUUAAUGCUGAUAGUGUUGGUCUCUGGACCCACACUUGAAGAAGCAAGCAGGGCAUUUUAGGUUAAAGAAAUACCAGCACAAAGGUGACAGUGAAAAGCAACAUGGUAGGUUUGAAGAACAGCAGCAGCUCAAAACGGUUGCACCAUCAAUUGCAGGGAAGGAAGUGACGCUGGAAAGUUGGUAGGGUUAGAGCAAGUAAGAAUUACAUGAAAAGGCCGGGCGCGGUGGCUCAAGCCUGUAAUCCCAGCACUUUGGGAGGCCGAGACGGGUGGAUCACGAGGUCAGGAGAUCGAGACCAUCCUGGCUAACACGGUGAAACCCCGUCUCUACUAAAAUAUACAAAAAACUAGCCGGGCGAGAUGGCGAGCGCCUGCAGUCCCAGCUACUCGGGAGGCUGAGGCCGGAGAAUGGCGUAAACCCAGGAGGCGGAGCUUGCAGUGAGCUGAGAUACGGCCACUGAACUCCAGCCUGGGCGACAGAGCGAGACUCCGUCUCAAAAAAAAGAAUUACAUGAAAAGACAAAAGUAAGUCUUUCUGGCACAUAGUGAACACUCAGAAAUGGCUUAUUUCCACCACCCAUUUUACUCAAAAACCCAC